rnacentral:rRNA from 1 species
AACGAACGCUGGCGGCAUGCCUAACACAUGCAAGUCGAACGAAGCCUUCGGGCUUAGUGGCUCACGGGUGCGUAACGCGAGGGAAUCUGCCCCUUGCUUCGGAAUAACAGUUAGAAAUGACUGCUAAUACCGGAUGAAGUCUUCUGACCAAAGAUUUAUCGGCAAGGGAUGAGCCCGCGUAGGAUUAGGUAGUUGGUGGGGUAAAGGCCUACCAAGCCGACGAUCCUUAGCUGGUCUGAGAGGAUGAUCAGCCACACUGGGACUGAGACACGGCCCAGACUCCUACGGGAGGCAGCAGUGGGGAAUAUUGGACAAUGGACGCAAGUCUGAUCCAGCAAUGCCGCGUGAGUGAUGAAGGCCUUAGGGUUGUAAAGCUCCUUUACCAGGGAUGAUAAUGACAGUACCUGGAGAAUAAGCUCCGGCUAACUCCGUG